rnacentral:lncRNA from 1 species
GUCAAAUGAUUUUUUCCAUAAAUCUAUCUUAACAUUUUAAAAUUUAAAGAACUUGAAACAGGUUUAAGAUAUCUUUGCUAAGACCAUCCUAAGACAGCUUCGAGACGAGGUCUGAGAUAUGACCUAGGAUGGUCAUAAGAGGAUCAUAAGACAUGUCCUAAGAUAUGUUACGACAGGUCUUAGGAUAGCUUCGCGAAAUCGGCCCAAGGACUUGGCGCAAUGCUAUAUUGAUCGUGGUUUUUUGUUGUUGUAUAAAUGAGUAUAGUGAACAUCAAUUGUGUGAUUCGUGAUUUUGUUUAGCAUGUUUAGUGUUAAAAGGAG